AGCGAACGCUGGCGGCAGGCUUAAACACAUGCAAGUCGAGCGGGCGUAGCAAUACGUCAGCGGCAGACGGGUGAGUAACACGUGGGAACGUACCUUUUGGUUCGGAACAACACAGGGGAAACUUGUGCUAAUACCGAAUAAGCCCUUACGGGGAAAGAUUUAUCGCCGAAAAGAUCGGCCCGCGUCUGAUUAAGCUUGUUGGUGAGGUAACGGCUCACCAAGGCGACGAUCAGUAGCUGGUCGAGAGGAUGAUCAGCCACACU
rnacentral:rRNA from 1 species